rnacentral:lncRNA from 1 species
CAGCCACCGCGGCGACUUGGCGGCGGGUGCCAUGCGUCUGGAGCUUCACAUUCUCUGCCCCCCACCCACCGCGCCGGCGCUCCCUUGUCACGCCUCGGGAAGCGCGCACCUGCCAAGCAGGCUCAUCUUUUUUCCUGUUUUUUCAACCUGGGUCAGUAUGAUGCAGGACUAGAGAGAAAUGAGAAGAGAAAAAUGAGGGUCAGUCUAUGAGCCAAGAGACAAAGUCAUGGGAAGACAGCUGAGGCUAAUUCCAGAAGGUCCUCCUAGGAGAAGCCAAAGCAGGGGACACACCUCAAAAUAGAGCCAUGCAUAGAACCACUCAUAGCCAGACUGCAAGGCAGGAACAUGAGGAUGGUCACUAGGAGGCCAACAAAUUCUGCUAAAGGGGAUUCUUUUUAUAAAAUACACUCUUUCAGGACAUUGUCAGAUCCUCUGCAUAUAGUCCUCAAAAUACGUCCUUGAUCCAGCUUGUUUUAAGUGUUUAUGCAAAAUAAUGGUAUGUUUGAAAGUGUUAGAUAUUAAUUUUUUAUUUCUGUUUUGAAGGCAUUCA